rnacentral:rRNA from 1 species
UACGGAGGGGGCUAGCGUUGUUCGGAAUUACUGGGCGUAAAGCGCACGUAGGCGGCUUUGUAAGUUAGAGGUGAAAGCCCAGGGCUUAACCCUGGAAUUGCCUUUAAGACUGCAUCGCUAGAAUCGUGGAGAGGUGAGUGGAAUUCCGAGUGUAGAGGUGAAAUUCGUAGAUAUUCGGAAGAACACCAGUGGCGAAGGCGACUCACUGGACGCGUAUUGACGCUGAGGUGGCGAAAGCGUGGGGAGCAAACAGG